rnacentral:rRNA from 1 species
AACGUAGGGGACAAGCGUUAUCCGGAUUUACUGGGCGUAAAGCGCCCGUAGGCGGCCUGACAAGUUGGACGUGAAAGCUCCUGGCUUAACUGGGAGAGGCCGUUCAAAACUGUCAAGCUAGAGUCUGGAAGAGGAGAGCGGAAUUCCCGGUGUAGUGGUGGAAUGCGUAGAGAUCGGGAGGAACACCAGUGGCGAAAGCGGCUCUCUGGUCGGAUCCUGACGCUGAGGUGCGAAAGCUAGGGGAGCAAACGGG